rnacentral:rRNA from 1 species
UACGAAGGGGGCUAGCGUUGCUCGGAAUUACUGGGCGUAAAGCGCACGUAGGCGGAUUGUUAAGUCGGGGGUGAAAUCCUGGAGCUCAACUCCAGAACUGCCUUCGAUACUGGCGAUCUCGAGUUCGGGAGAGGUGAGUGGAACUGCGAGUGUAGAGGUGAAAUUCGUAGAUAUUCGCAAGAACACCAGUGGCGAAGGCGGCCCACUGGCCCGGUACUGACGCUGAGGCACGAAAGCGUGGGGAGCAAACAGG